UCUCACGGCUGCGUCAGUGGCGAUUCGCCCGUCAUGAUCGAUUGCCGUGCUGGUGCAGAGUAUAAAAAGUCAGGUUGGAGGAGCUCAUCCGUCAGGUUUGGAGUCUCCAAGAGAAAUUCUGAAAAAUGAAGUUUCAUCUACUGCUGGUGCUGCUUCUGCUGCCGCUCUGCUCAGCGGAGGACUUUUUAAUUGAGUGUUAUGGAGAGGACUACUUCAUGGUCAACAACCUGCUGAUGCAGUGUAGAGGCAAAGUCCAGCAGGCCUGCUACACCAGAAGUAACGGUGAAAAAGGCUGCACUCGGUUGGAAAACUGCUCUCGAGCAGGGUGGAGGUGUUGCUACACCGACCGCUGCAACGCCGGGACAUCAUAACUGGGAAACUGUAAAUGUUCAGAGGGGUUUGGGUUCAAACGUGUGUCAAUCCACAGAAAAUAAAAGUGUUUUUGGGCUGGAAA